rnacentral:rRNA from 1 species
GACGAACGCUGGCGGCGUGCCUAAUACAUGCAAGUAGAACGCACAGUUUAUACCGUAGCUUGCUACACCAUAAACUGUGAGUUGCGAACGGGUGAGUAACGCGUAGGUAACCUGCCUGGUAGCGGGGGAUAACUAUUGGAAACGAUAGCUAAUACCGCAUAAUAUUAAUUAUUGCAUGAUAAUUGAUUGAAAGAUGCAAUUGCAUCACUACCAGAUGGACCUGCGUUGUAUUAGCUAGUAGGUGAGGUAACGGCUCACCUAGGCGACGAUACAUAGCCGACCUGAGAGGGUGAUCGGCCACACUGGGACUGAGACACGGCCCAGACUCCUACGGGAGGCAGCAGUAGGGAAUCUUCGGCAAUGGACGAAAGUCUGACCGAGCAACGCCGCGUGAGUGAAGAAGGUUUUCGGAUCGGAAAGCUCUGUUGUAAGAGAAGAACGGGUGUGAGAGUGGAAAGUUCACACUGUGACGGUAUCUUACCAGAAAGGGACGGCUAACUACGUG